AUUUAUCUCUUCUCUGGGCAGCCUGUGCCAGUGCCUCACCACCCUCACAGUAAAGAACUUCUUCCUCGUGUUUUCGCUAUGUGAGUACACCCUUGUUUCCCAUGGAUUUUAAUCUUGAGAUUUCUUAAUUCAUGAUCUAAUUAUGUACUUUUGACACUACCAUACAACCAUUGUCCUUGGUAUGAUUUUUUCUCUUCUUUUCAGUGUUCUGAAGUAAACCUCUAGAUUGAACACAAGAUUACUCAGGAGUUCAGAUUUUAAUGCUAAUUUUUGUUUAAAGAUAAACAAUAGUAAUUACUACUAAUUGCAUGUGUACAGUUGUUCUUACCCAGGAAGCGCACAGUGCUUUACAAAUGUUGAUGGACUCAGCCUUGUAGUGCCAAGAAAACGUAAGUAAGCAUAAAUUCAGGCACUCAGCACGAACCAAAUCUGGUAAUACUGGUGUGUAAUAAAAGUGUGUAAUGGUUUAUGAUGAUUUACUAAGCCCAUUGACUCACUAUGUAACCAAAACCUGGCUAAAGGAACUAGGGAGUGGCUGUGUAGGACAAGUGGCAAGGAUUGUACAGCCGAGAAGGGUUUGCUAGGGCGGGACACUGUAGACACAAGCCAGAAAGCUUGAAUUGGUAUUUAUUUCCCCACUUUAUUUCUUUUUUAUGGUUGUCAAAUUCCAGAAAGGGACAAGUUACAUUGAAUGUGUCAUUGAGCAGGUUGGGCUCAACAUCAUGUUAGAACUGCAUUUGUUUUGAGAUAGGAAACUUGAAGAAGAAAGCAUAUGAAGAAUAUUGGAGCAGCAAGUAUUGCCUCAGCAAAACCAGCUUCUGGCUUUAUUUGACAACCAUCUUGAGUAUUUCCUUCUAUAAAUUAAUCAAAUCAAUGUAUAAGCACUGUUACAUUGUUUGCCCUUACAACUCACAUUGGAGAGUUUUUUUUCAGAAACUCACUAGUUUGGUGUUCUAAUGUCAGGAAAAAUCAACUUGGGUACCUUGAUACCCACUGUGUGCUUUAAUUUGAACAGCACACUUCCUUUUAUGUGCUUCUUUAAAUCAAAAUUUACUUUAAAGUCCCAUUCCCAGUGAUGGUCCUGCACUGGGACCUGCCCUUAUGAAGUACCUAGCAUUUUUUGCUGGUUCUGAUGUUUUAAAUCAUCUGUGUGUUAUUUUCUUCACUCGUUGCCAGUGCCCUAAAGUAAUCAGUGUAAGUAAUUUCGCCUAAGUGCAAUCAUUUUACUACAGUGAAUUGCAUUUGCUAUCACUUUGCUAUGUGUGUUGAAGAGGUUUUCCUUGAUUCUCCCAUUCAUACAUUUCUGCAUUGUUUUGAAUUAGCCACUCAGCCUGCUGGAUUGGAUUGACAGCUCAGAAUUCAGCACUCACUUGUCCUGCCCUGCAUUACGGGAUUUUUUCCUUUUCCGUUGGCAAAGUUCAUGCAUCGUUAACAGAAGGAAUGGAGAUCAAAUUAACAAAGCUGUACACUUCCUCUGCCGGCAUUAAAUAAAUGCUGUACAUUUCAAGUCAUUUUAGCCAUUCAAUCCAUGUUAAGCUAUUUUCAAAGACUGUUGGCCAGCCAGGGGAACCUCCUGCUAAGCUCUGCUAUUCUUACAGAAAAAAUGUUGCACCUGCAUUUGGAAUCGUUUAUUGAUUUUGCUUUCUAAGUACAGCUAAAAAUCAAAUACAAAAUGUGACUGAAAAACAAGCUAAGGGUUUCCAGUGCUAUCUAACAUGAAUCACAACUUGUCUCCAGCCAGUGACUGACUCCACCCCACAAGGCAGGUAAAAAGGACAAGCCACGGACUGAACAAGGAAGCCUCCAGCUGUGAGUUAAGACUGUGGCUACUGAGUGACCCUGUGUUUGAAUGUUACUUCUUUGUACCGCUCGUGAGCGUGGUUGUCAUGAAAAUCAGAUUCUUCAGCAGAACUGACACAAAGAUAUUUGUCCCUGCAGCUUCUACAAGGAACAGAGGAAGGUUAUGAAGGAGUCACUGCCGGAAAGAGUAUACCUAGAGCAUCUUCAUCUUGUUGAUUAUCAGUCCUUAAUGCUAACCAGCCUGCAGUGGUCAGUGGGAGAAGGCAAUGAAUAAGGCAGGAAAGAGACAAGCAGGAAGUUCGGAUGCUACAAGCCAUUUUCGCAGAAAUAAGUUGAGAAAUGCAGUGACAGACCAAUGCUGUGGAAAGGCACACUGACAGCAUGACCCAUGCGCUCACUCCCAUCGCUGUUGACUGCUCCUGUUAGCACUUAAGUUCAGUCAGGAUACAUGGAUGGACUGCCAGGGCUGUACGGUAGAGUUUUGCAGCACCAUUUGCCUGUCACUGAACUGGGAAAUCCAGGGCAGGGAACUCAUGAUGGGCUCUGUUGGAAGUCAGACCCAGUACUCCAGUGGGAAUGCUAUAUAAAGAUCCCCGGUAACAAGUUGUGUGAAAACAUGGGCCUAUUUGCUCAAAUGAGCAAGGAAGGAAAUAUCUUCUCCUUAGGCAAUUGGGAAUGCUAGGGGAAUAUUCUCUUAUUUUGGGAGAUUUUGCUUCCAUAGUUCAUGAGAAUUGUUAGCCCACGAGAAAAAGAGUUUAACCAUAACCUAAGGGACUGUUGAAUGUCUGUGGGAUGUUCUUUUGAAAUGCUGAAAGAGAAAUCAUGUCUUUUACAGCAAGGCUAGAGAUUAGCCUUUGCCUUUGCAUCACUAAGUGUUCCAGGGAGAAACGCCUGCUAUUGUACAACACUGGGGGAGAGCAAAGAAUUAUUUCUGGGGAGGGAAUAAAAGAACAGCUCAAAAGGAUGCAGGUGAAGGUAUGAAGCAGCCAAGGAAACAAAUCCUCCCAUUUGUGGCCAGAAGAAAACAAUAUUUAAGGACUAUGCUGUAAGCAAGGAAACAUGUUUGUACCUGACUUUAUUAGGGAUAAUUGUAUGGACUCCAGAUUCUGAUAUGUAUAGGUCAAACUGUAUUUGAGUAACAUUUUCCAGAAAAACAGUAGCAACAAACUUACAUAAGACAAUGAAACUUUCACAGAAAUAAAGUGAUGGAAGAUUGCGAUGAAAGACCAAUAAGCAUGAGGAAUGAUCAAAAGAAAGUUCUUCUGACCCACCAAUCUGUAAUUAGGCAGAGGGAAAUUGUAGUUCCAUUAAUGAUGAGGGGUUUAUGCUUUGUGAGGGUAGAAGAUGGAAGGACACCACUUCCAUCAUCUGGACCACCAGUUCCAUUUGUUGCUUUGGCAGUCUGCAUCCUCACCAGUUCAGGCUGCACAGAGCAGAGUUCAGAGACCCGAGCACCACCUCUUUGCUUCAGGUAUUGCUGGUGAAAUGAAUUCUGCCUUCACAAACCUCUAUAGCUUUUAGAAAUCUGUCAGGUUCUCUGAGAGAAGUAAAGUUCUUUCCCUCAUGAUUGUAAGUGCUAUGGAAAAUCAGAAACUGAGGUUUCCAAAGAUAAAUAGCCAGGAAUAUACGAAUUCUUCAAGAUCUCUGUGGUCCAAUUAAACCAUUUUCUUUAUGAAGACUCAGCUCAUGAAAAACUGAGUAUACUAAUAAAACUGUGAGUCAUCGUGCCUUUCUUAUUGAUUCUUGUUAUCUUUCUGUAUCUGAGGCAAUAAUAAACAUGAUUUAUGUGCACUGU